rnacentral:miRNA from 1 species
AGGGAUCGCGGGCGGUCGGCGGCCC